GAACAUACAAACAUUUCCCACCCACCAUGUGGAUCAAGAUGUUUGGGCUGAUGAUUCUGGGUCGUAUGUGUGGACAAGGUGGUCUUCAUUACAUCAUGAUGCAGCUGUGUAUUCAACAACAUGUUAACCUGUCCCAGCGGAUGUUGAUGCUCUUAAAUGAUGUUGAGAAAAAUCCAGGACCGGAGUAUUCGUGCAAAUGGAUAUCCUGCAAGGAAGACUUCCACUCCAUAGGACAGCAAGAUGCACAUAUCAUCUCUCAUGUGGUUCAAGAGAAAUGCUGUAGAUGGGGAGACUGUACCAAAGUCCUGAGCUUUAAUCGUCUUGAAAUCCAUGAACUUAAACAUCUCUAUGAUGUGAGUUUAGCACUGUGUAUGAACUGGUGUUGCUUCAUUUUCUGCAUAUCUUUAUCUCAGUCUUCUCUAGUGUUGAUGGUCAAAUACAUAUUGUCUGCCAGUUUUUUCCCCCAAUACUGCCGUUCAUCGUUUGCUUGCAUCAAGAGUUUUAAAAGAAAUUAAAACUUAUUUGUUUAGUUAGAAUCUUAUGAAAGACUUAAAUGGCCAUGUUUAAUACAAUUGUAUAACAACAUAUACGAGCUAAAAAAUAGUUGGAAUAAUUAAUGUAUAUAUGAACAUAACAAAUUUACUUAAAAUCAUAGGUCUUGUUUUUGUCUGCCAUUAUAAGAACCAGAACAUAUUUCGGACAUUCGAGGAUUGACUUGCUGUGUUAGAGGAUCAUCAGGUGAAGGAAGAAACCAGGCUUUUUUCGACUCAAUGUUGAUGAAACCUGAUCGACAUACUCAUCUUGGUUGAGUAAGCCUGGGUUAAGUGUGUCCAAAAAGUAGGUAACCUGGUGAAAUCUUAGGAAAACAUUGUAACCAGAUCCAGGUUUAUUUGACUGACAGACCGAUGGACAGUGGGUCAACCGUAAAUCCCUUCAUGUGAAAACGGUAGGGACAAAAUAAAUAUCACAUUGCUCUUCUGCGUUCAUUUGUAAACCAAGUUUUAUCACAAAAUUAAAAUGGUCAAUGUAUUAUUUUGUGUAUUUAAAAAUUAUGUGAAUAUUAAGUUUCAUGAAAUCUUACUGAGUUUUCUCAAUUUUAGCUACUAUUCGGACAUGGACUGACGGACAAAUGGGCAACAAUGUCGCAAUUUGUAUACCAAGUUUUAUAAGAAUUGUUUCAUAAAAGUAACCAAUGUGUCUGUUCUAUGUCAAGGUAACUACUAGGAUGAAAUACACAAAAAGAUUUUGGUUCACAAUAGGGUAGGCUCCGCGUGCCGUGAACCGGGCAACAGCUUUUGUCAUUUAAUAUUUGUGUUAUAAUGGCAUAAGCUGGCAGAUACCCUUUAACUUUAACGAUGUUUCCGAUAAUUUCUCGGAAAAUACAAUCUAGCAAUUUUUAGUUAAUUUAGAUUACUAAAAAUUAAUAUUAUAUUUAUGCCCCCCUUGGAAGAAGAGGGGUAUAUUGUUUUGCACAUGUCAGUUGGUUGGUCCGUCCGUCCACCAGAUGGUUUCCUGAUGAUAACUCAAGAACGCUUUGGCCUAGGAUCAUGAAACUUCAUAGGUUUAUUGAUCUCGAAAUAGUAAAAUGGUUUCCGGAUGAUAACUCAAGAACGCUUACGCCUAGGAUCAUGAAACUUCAUAGGUACAUUGAUGAUGACUCGCAGAUGACCUCUAUUGAUUUUCAGGUCACUAAGUCAAAGGUCAAGGUCACAGUGACUCGAAAUAGAAAAAUGGUUUCCGGAUGAUAACUCAUAAAUGCUUACGCCUAGGAUCAUAAAAUAAAAAAAUCAUAGGUAUAUUGAUCAUGACUGGCGAAUGGUCCCUAUUGAUUUUCAGGUCACUUGGUCAAAGGUCAAGGUCACAGUGAAUCAAAAUACUAAAAUGGUUUCUGGAAGAUAACUCAACAAUGCUUACGCCUAAGAUCAUGAACUUCAUAGGAACAUUGAUCAUAACUGGCAGAUGACCUCUAUUGAUUUUCAGGUCACUAGGUCAAAGGUCAAAGUCACAGUGACUCAAAAUAGUAAAAUGGUUUCCGGAUGAUAACUCAAGAAUGCUUAGGCCUAGCAUCAUGAAACUUCAUGGGUACAUUAAUCAUUACUGGCAGAUGACCCCUAUUGAUUCUCAGGUCACUAGGUCAAAGGUCACAGUGACUCAAAACAGUAAAAUGAUUUAUGGAUGAUAACUCAAGAAUGCUUACGCCUAGGAUCAUGAAACUUUAUAGGAACAUUGAUCAAGACUGGGAGAUGACUCCUAUUGAUUUUCCGGUCACUAGGUCAAAGGUCAAUGUCACAGUUACUCGAAACAGUAAAAUGGUUUCAUGAUGAUAACUCAAGAAUGCUUACGCCUAGGACCAUGAAACUUCAUAGGUACAUUGAUAAUGACUGGCAGAAGACCCCUAUUGAUUUUCAGGUCACUAGGUCAAAGAUUAAGGUCAUAGUGACUCAAAACAGUUUAAUGGUUUCCUGUUGAUAGCUCAAGAAUACUUAGGUCUAUGAUCAUGAAACUUCUCAAGUACAUUGAUCAUGACUGGCAUAUGACCCCUAUUGAUUUUCAGGUCACUAGGUCAAAAGUCAAGUUCACAGUGACAAAAACGUAUUCACAAUGGCUGCCACUACAACUGACAGCCCAUAUGGGGGGGCAUGCAUGUUUUACAAACAG